GAAAAAGUAAUGAUAAGGACACAAGAUGAUUUUUACGGUUUGCAGAGAGGGAAGUCUAAGGCUGUGAGCUUCCUAACACGAGAAAUGAUCUUACCACCUUUGAACUUCAAUAGUGAACGAGAAAUCUAGUAAUUAUUGGCGGUCUCAGCCGUUAUCUGAACUUGAGCAAUCUAGAAAGAAAACGUGCCUAGAUUGGAACAAGGGUGGAACCACGAAAACACAUUCGUCCCUUUA
rnacentral:ncRNA from 1 species